AAGAACAUAGUAUAAAUGAGUAUAAUUCACUUACAUUGAAUUGGUAGUUAAUAUGGGACUUGUUCUUA
rnacentral:tRNA from 1 species